rnacentral:ncRNA from 2 species
CAUUAUUCCGAGGGGUGUCCGUCGGCAUUCGCGCCGCCGGGCUGAGAGAUCACCCUUAGAACCUGAUCCGGAUCAUGCCGGCGAAGGGACAGGACGAUGCGGACAU